rnacentral:rRNA from 1 species
GGGACAACAGUUGGAAACGACUGCUAAUACCGCAUAAGCCCACGGCUCGGCAUCGAGCAGAGGGAAAAGGAGCAAUCCGCUUUGAGAUGGCCUCGCGUCCGAUUAGCUAGUUGGUGAGGUAAUGGCCCACCAAGGCGACGAUCGGUAGCCGGACUGAGAGGUUGAACGGCCACAUUGGGACUGAGACACGGCCCAGACUCCUACGGGAGGCAGCAGUGGGGAAUAUUGCACAAUGGGGGAAACCCUGAUGCAGCGACGCCGCGUGGAGGAAGAAGGUCUUCGGAUUGUAAACUCCUGUUGUUGAGGAAGAUAAUGACGGUACUCAACAAGGAAGUGACGGCUAACUACGUGCCAGCAGCCGCGGUAAAACGUAGGUCACAAGCGUUGUCCGGAAUUACUGGGUGUAAAGGGAGCGCAGGCGGGAAGACAAGUUGGAAGUGAAAUCUAUGGGCUCAACCCAUAAACUGCUUUCAAAACUGUUUUUCUUGAGUAGUGCAGAGGUAGGCGGAAUUCCCGGUGUAGCGGUGGAAUGCGUAGAUAUCGGGAGGAACACCAGUGGCGAAGGCGGCCUACUGGGCACCAACUGACGCUGAGGCUCGAAAGUGUGGGUAGCAAACAGGAUUAGAUACCCUGGUAGUCCACACCGUAAACGAUGAUUACUAGGUGUUGGAGGAUUGACCCCUUCAGUGCCGCAG